rnacentral:rRNA from 1 species
UACGGCCAUUACUACCCUGAACACGCCCAAUCUCUUCUGAUCUCAGAAUCGAAGCAGGGUUGGGCCUGCUUAGUACUUGGAUGGGAGAAUACCUUAAAUUUUGACAAUUACCUCAU